GGCGUGGUUAAGACAUGCAAGUCGAACGGGAUUCGAUCAAUCGCAAGAAAGAGAGAUGAGAGUGGCAAACGGGUGAGUAACACGUAAACAACCUGCCCUUUAGUUGGGGAUAGCUCGUCGAAAGAUGAAUUAAUACCGAAUGUGGUGGAUUCUCGCAUGAGAAUUCUACUAAAACUUGAAAUGGUGCUAGAGGAGGGGUUUGCGGCCUAUCAGCUUGUUGGUGAGGUAAAGGCUUACCAAGGCGAAGACGGGUAGCUGGUCUGAGAGGACGAUCAGCCACAUUGGAACUGAGACACGGUCCAAACACCUACGGGUGGCAGCAGUUUCGAAUCAUUCACAAUGGACGAAAGUCUGAUGAUGCAACGCCGCGUGAGGGAUGAAGGCCUUCGGGUAGUGAACCUCUGUCGUUAAGGAGCAAAUGUGAGUUAAUAGCUAAUUGAGUAA
rnacentral:rRNA from 1 species